GCCGGAGUGGUGAAACAGGUAGACGCACGGGACUCAAAAUCCCGCAGGGGCAACCCUAUGUCGGUUCGAUUCCGACCUCCGGCACCA
rnacentral:tRNA from 1 species